UGCCUUAGCUGAGCUGCUGGAGCCGGGCGCAUCCUCCGGGCGUCGUCCUCUUGCUCACCGCCGGUGGGGGUUGGUCCUCCGCUUCCAGCGGGGCUAGGGGUGGCGGCGGGCGGCAGUGGGGUGCUGUCUGCCCCGGGGGAGGACCGCGAUCCUACCGGCUCCCCUCUUGGAAGGCGGCUCUCCCCGCAACGGGGUCCGGGGUCAGUGUCUUUCUUGGAGCGGUUACCAAGUGGCUUCUCCGCGUGCUCCCCUCCCUGCCACCCCUCUACCUCGGAGGACGCGUAUAUAGGGCAACACCGACUGCUCCCCGCCACCCUCCAGAGCAACCCGGUUGCAUUCAUGACGUCCCUAAUAUACCGGAGAAGACGGGGUGGGGGCGGGGAAGACUUCCUUCCAGUCUUUUGCCCUUAUGUUCAAUGUCAUUACGAUGUUUGGCUAGAACAAAAUGGAAAGACUUAGUCAUAUGCGUCCAUGGCCGUUUCUUCAGUCUCCCGCUGCUCGCCAGACCCAGACCCCUUUGGUCUAUAUUUAGCGUUUCCGAGGAAGCAUUUUCAGAGGGAUUCACAGGCUUCCGGGGGCUUCUCUGUCCUGACAAUAGAUAGCGAGGCUCUGGAAAGCGCUGCCUGACAGCCAGGGUCUUCCGCUCUCUGGCCUUUCCUGGGAGCUGUUUGUAUCCACCUCAAAGGCAGAUUGAAGGAAUAAUUCAUUCUGAGAAGCUUGGUGAAUCAAUGCGUUCAUUAGCGUUACUUACCUGGAGCAUCUGUGACUGUUAGGUAACUGCACCCCAGAAAAAUCCAUCCCAGCCCAGAUCCCAAUCCAGUCAUCUCUAAGGCUCAGGCUACAUCGGAUGCAUGUUUGCCGGGAUGAUGGGACAUUCCAGGGCAGGACAAAGCCUGCAAGCUCUGCACAGCCAAGAAGGCCAUCCAUUUCCUGAGUAAAUGAGACUGUUCAGUAGACAACGUUGGCAGUUCUUUGACUAAUUUAAAAUUGUUCUUCAGUUCCUGUUAAAUAUUUGGCUUUGAUUUACAAACUCUAGGUGUUGAUGCUUUGGAGUACUUGACACAUGUGGAUUAUCAAGAUUUUGCAAAGUUACUUUUACAUGUAUUGGUUAAAUAUGGAGGGCUGCUCCUCAUCUUGAUUGAAUCUCUUGCUUCUCUUUACUUGACUUCUCAACCAGGGCCUCCAUCUUAGUUAUCUGCUGCAGAGUCCUGAUGGCAGGAACACUUGCCUUCACUCUGCCUCCCUCCAAGCCAUCCUUUUCACGUUGUCCAGAAGGCUCAAAUCUUCUCUUUGCCUGUGCUACCUACAAAGGCGACCAAGUAAAGGACCAAAUCUUCUGACUGUCACAUUUCCCCCACUCCAUCCAUGUCUUAGAUUUAUUCAGCUACAGCUACUUUGAACAUCUUUCUGCCUUUUUUUUUUUUCCAGGCUAACGCAGACAUUCUUCUAGUAUUUUUAGAAUCUAAUUGCCAUUACAAUAUGCAUGUGAACUUGAAGUCACCUCAUCUACUUACUAGUUAGCAAGGUUGUUUCCAUGUGUUUAUCCUUGAGGGUUGAUCCUUAAACUAUUUUAAAGGAAGCAUAGUUAGAUACAGCACAAAAUUGCCAUAGGAACGUUAAAGCAUGCCGGGCUUCUAGAUACACAAUUGAUGGAGGAUAUGGAGGAUAGGGAUGAUGUCAUCAUUGCUGAAGCCUACCUUAAGUAUGUAUUGACAUCAAAGAGGAAUUUAUAAAGCAGAUCACCUAGCUGGAGAUGGCUGGGAUAUGAAUAUGGUAGUUACCAAGAGGUGACUGAGUUUCCAUAAAAAGAUUGUACACAAUGCUUCCAUUGCUAAGUUGCCUGCCUUGUGUUUCCAGGCAUCCUUAGACACAGCAGGUUAUUUCUCAAAGGUAGAUUACCUCCUUGUGAGUAGGAUUCAAAGAUCCUAGAUACUGUGCUGCAGAAUAAUGUUGAACAUACUUAUAGAACUUCACCAACUUCAUAUUUUCAUGGAAAAGUGUUACCUCAAAGUACACAUUCAGUUCUACAUUGUGAACCACAAGGGAGAUGCUGCUCUGCCUAAGAACUCAGAGAGCAUUCUUCUGUGAAUAUCAUUUGAAGGAUAAGUGAGAGGAGAAAUGAUAACAUUAGAACUGAUUAGCACAUUUAAUUAUUAAGAUCAGACUUGUUUUCCCAAAGUAUGUGUUUCCCAAUAGAUGUAAAUUUCAGAUACUGUCUAUGCAUUAGAAUAUUGAAACUGUAAAGUAAAUUAUUUCAAACUCUAUCACUGUCCAAAUGUUGAUUCUGAGGUAAGACCUUGAUUCCUACAUGUGGAACACAUUGAAUUUUCAUUUAUAAGGAAUGUAUUUAAGUGUGUUUGGGUUAUUAUGGUUUUUGGAUACUGCAACAUAAUUAAAAUAUUUAGGUCCUAACUAGGUGACUUUAAGAGUAGAUCUUGUAGUUUCAUGUACACUUUUAUCCAUAUUUGUAAUUCAGAAUUAAUAUAAUAAAUUUGUGUUUAUAAACAUUCAUAUUUGUCAUUUGGACUUUCUUGCCACAAAAUUCCUUGCCUCAUUAAAUUUCCUAUGCCUGAAUGAAUUCUCUUCAAACACGAAACUUUUAUAGUUGCACUGUGUUAUUGUCGAAAUGUGGUAUUACACUGGAAGAAGUCCUUCUGACCUGCUAAGUGUAUUGUAAGGUAGUUUCCUUGUGAGAUUGUAUUUUUUGGCUCACCACUCAAAGAGCAGUGUGGAUAGAGCCUUUACCUCUCACAGCUUUGCAGUGGUUCUGUGCUCAUGCAUCAUGGGUUUUGGAUACUCCACUCAGUUAUGUCUUCAUUACCCCUGAUUCAGUUUAGUUCUAGAGAGGGUUCUGGUGUUCCUGAUUAGUGUGUGUUAUCAGAAGCUGUGCUGAGAGGCUGGUCACAUCAGGACCUUUCCUUACAACCUCCAUGUGAACGAUUGAAAUCUGUAUGGUCUUUCAGAUCUUGGCUUUGUGUCUCAAAGAAAGUGAGAAAAGGACCCUCACCCCCAACCCCAACCCCUGAGUAUUUGCCAAAGGCAUCUCAUGCUUUUGAGAUAUUCCUGUUUAAGUUAUUCUGAGAAUUUGUAUAAUACACACUCUGGGAUGUAUUAACCCAGUGUUCCUGAGGGUAUUAGAUAGGACCAUGUGGAUCCCUGCUGUGUGUCCUUUCCUCCCUUUUCUUCUUUCCAUUUGUAUUUUCUUGAAAUAGGGUCUCACACUAUAGAUGAGCUGGUUUGCAAUUCACUUUAUAGCCCAGGCUGGCCUUAAAAUUUUCAUAGUUAUGCAUCUACUUUCUGAGUGCUGACGUCAUAGGUAUGAGAUACCAUGCAUAUUUUGACAUCCAUCUUUUGUCUAUAAAAUUUAUAGUUUCAAUCUAAUCAUUUUUGUUCUCCUUAAUUGAAGAGCUAAUUAAUAAUUUAAAUACAAUGUUUACUCUUUUUUUUUUCUCCACUGAAAUUUUCCAUUUGGUGGCUUACCAAGUAAGACACUCAAAUCCUCCUGUGUUCUCAAAACACUGAGAUAUGCCAAUUGCUAGGUCUUGGGGGACUCGUGAUUCGAUUAACAUUAGUGUGGCUGGAAAGAGUUAUGUGAAGCCCCCAAGCAACUCAAGAAACUAAGCUAUGUGUGUGGCUCUGGGGAGGGAUAAAGAGUCCCUCUGCCAUAGGCAACUGUUCUCAUCUUCAAAAGCACUUCUAUCUAUCCUGGUAUUUUUAUACCCAGCUAUAAUAUGUUUAGUAGUAAAAUCUCCAGAAAACGUAAUUCAAAUAUCAUUGUAAUAUGCUAAUGGGUUUUUCUUGUUGUUGUGAAAAUUGUAUUUUAUGAGCUUAGUGUUUCCUUCUUCCUUUCCUUCCUUCCUUCCUUCCUUUCCUCUCCCUUCUCUUCCCUCCCCUCUUCCCCUCCCCCUUCCUUUCUUAUUUGUUUACUUUUUAAAGGUUUAUUCUUAUCUAACCACAGUUUUCCCCCUCUUACACUCUUACGUGUUCUCAUGUCACCUCCCUUCUCCCAAGUUCACUUCUCCUCAGUUUCCCUUCAGUAAAGAUCAAGCCUCCAAAGGAAAUCAAGUGAAAGUGGCACAACAAGGCUAGGCAAAAAACAAAAAAACAAAACAAACAAACAAACAAAAAAACCCCCUCUUAUCAAGGCUCAACAAGGCAACCCAGUAGGAAGAAAAGGUAUUUACAAGUGAAAGUUAUUAAUGAAUAUUUGAAAUGAAAUUAUAAUUUAUAUAAGUCACUACUUAUAAAAUAAAUUUUUUGGUGGUGGUGGUGGGGCUUGAGAGAUGGCUCAGAGUUUAAGAGCACUGACGGCUCUUCCAGAGGUCCUGGGUUCAAUUCCCAAAAACCACAUGGUAGCUCACAACCAUAUGUAAUGAGAUCUGAUGUCAGUCUUCUGGUGUGUCUAAAGACAGCUACAGUGUACUCAUACACAUAAAAGAAAUAAAUCAAUAAAUAAAUCUUUAAAAGUAACUAAAUAACUUUGGGCCGGUGAUAUGUUUUGGUGUGUAAGGGCUCUUGCCACUCAGCCUGGCAAUCUGACUGAAGUCCUGGGAUACACAGUGGAAAGAGAGAACCUCUGCAAUUUGUUUAUGUGUGUGAAGAGUUCUUGUCCAAGAGUCCAUGGCACUUGGGAUAUUUUGAUGACGAAUCUGGGUUUCUGUAUCUGGUAUUUUGCAAGCAAGGGCUCAAACAAACUUGAACAAACAUAAAAAUAAAACAACUCUUAGUAUCUAUACUGAGUAUACACAGAGUGAUUUUCAUUGUUUAUGUUGAUGUUUAUGAAAUUCGGUGUGAUGGCUGAUCACAUAGUGUUUAUAUUAUUUUCGAAGCUGUGGUAUUAAGAGCUGUUAUAAACCUAAAGACCACAUGAACGGGUCAUAUAGACCUUGCACUAUUUUACCUAAGGGACUUGAGUGUACCAUGGCAGAUGCUGGGACCAGUACACUACAAAUAGGGAGGGACCAUUGUACCAAGUUGUGGGCAUUAAAAUAUAGUUGUGUAUUCAAGAAUAUGAGCAAGCAAAUUUUAAAAUUGUCAGUUACAAUGCUCCAGCUUGAGCUGUUGAUAAAGCAUGCUGAGAAUAGCACUUGUCCUUUGUGUGUUCCUGUGAGAUGCUCAUGACAUCAGGCUAAUGUAGGAAACAUUUUAUGUGUUAUAGGAACAAUGCCAUUAGAAUUGUUAAGGUCUUCAAUACAAGAGAAGUCUAAGAUAUGGACAAGAGCCCACAGAGGUGGGAUAGCUAAAUAUUGUGCAGAGUCCCUUGUGGGCUCCUCAAAAUAAGAGGACAUUAGGGAAAGAUGAGAUAGAUUUAAAUUAACAAUAGGCUUUAGUUAAUAGCAAUGUUUAAGUAUUAUUAAUCGUUAAAAAUGCACUGUAACAUAUAGGGUAAAUUGAGAGUUAGAAGAUAACUUCUAUAUUAGAAGUUCAAACAUUCCUAUUCAGAGUUUGACAAGAGUUGAGUAAGGAUGGGGCAGCUUGCUUCAUUUGAAUAGUCUCGGACUCUGCUCUAAGAUUUGAUGCUUGUCAUUCAAAUUUGACUUGCUGUCUAUUAAGUGACCAAUCAGCAUAAUGUACAUAUUAUAAUCAGUUAUGUUAUAGAUUUCUUGUUCCCGUAAAAGGAAAAUAAAUACCCAAACUGUUUUAUAGCAGUGGAUUUUUUUCCCUAUCAUCUUGAUGGCUGCUUAUAGUCGUGGGAAGAAGAUAACUCAAAAGUUGCUGAAUUCCUCAACUCGGUUUUAGAGCAGGCCUUUCACAGAAAAGUCAUUUUGUUAAUUUUUUUUUUGAAGUAACUUUAACCGAUUAUUAGGGACAUUUUCUUCCUUCCACAUAUAACCCCCACAAAAGACAUAAAAAAAUUAGUCUGUAUUUUGUGAAUGAUUUUUCUAAUACUUGAAGAUGAAGCCUUAGUCUCUAAGUAGCCCGUCCUGCAAUACAUCCAGUCCCUAGGUUCUUUAUAUCCACGUGUAGGAUGGUUACAGUCAGUGAGUGAAAAUAUUGGAAGCCAGGUGAAAUGCAAGUAAAACAAGACUUUAAGCAAUAUAUUUCAGUUUUAUUAUUCUAAUAUUUUAAGGGUAACAGUCCAAAUUACUGUGUUGGAUAUAUACAUUGAGAAAAAUUGACUCCCCCCACCUAAAAAAAUCCAAAUUUAACGUAUCCUAAAGAUGUAGAGAUUUUGGUUGCAAAGUCGCAGUUCUUUCCCUUAACUGCUGAUGCUGAUAUGGCUGGUGCUGCUAAUGUUGGCGCUGGACCCUUCUCUCCCUUCUGCAGACCCCCACUGUUGUAUCAGGAGCUUCCCUGUGUAGUAGUUCUUCAGUACAACUGGUAUUCAAGUGUCACUUUCUUGUGAAAACUCAUCCUGUCACAACGUUACCCUCUAUGGAGCUCACACAGAAACUUCCUUCCUAUUGUAGAGUAUUUUAUGCAUGUUGCUUGCUUCUGGUGGUCAUUAUGUGCUCGUUAAUGUGGACAUCGAAAGGAGAGUCUGUCACAGCUCCCUGGGCUCCUAGUGGUAAUGGAUAACAAUAUCUUCAAUCAAGUAUUUUAUAACUUAACAAGGAGGAUGCAUAUUAGUGAGAGUAAACUGAGUUAUGUGGUCUGAGAGAGCAGUUCCUGGUUUCAGUAGAUAAAAAGAGAGCUUUGUGCAUUCUCAGGUUGGAUUAUCAAGGGCAUGAAAUGGAGUCUUAUAUAAUACUGGUAACUUGGGCAUUUAGCCAAUGGAUUCUCCACCUGUGCAGGUUUCCAUGGCCACUGGGGGAAAUGGAUGAAGUGUUAAAUGAAAUCAUACAUUACACAGCCUUAUUUCAAAGGCAAAGCAGACUACAGAGCCAUCCAGUUUUAUCAUGUGCCAAGAGACAGAGAGAACUAGGAUAGUGGUGAGUGGCUCUAAGAAAACCACUUAAAGAGGCAGAAGAGUCUUGGAGAGCUGGGUAGUUUAGAGCCUUGAAUUCAGGGGUCAUUCCUUUGGAGCCUGUAGUUCUAUCCACAAACCCAUGCCUGGUUUCAGAAUGUUUGUACAUAAGGCAGAGCUUUGGGUUUUAUACAGAAGUAAGAAAAAUAAAUGUCAAAGCAUCAUUUGUCAAUGGCACAGAAUAGAAUGUGAAUCAUGACUGAUGAUCAAUAUUAUGAUAAUGUGCUCAAAUAAAGCGGUAACACAUUCCAAUCUUGUUGGCUUUUGAGAAUUACUGUUCCCAGAUAUUAAAAAAAUCCAGACCCAUCUUAUAUGUAGCAAAGACAUUUGUGUGAAUGUGUGUGCCUAUGCAUAUAGUAAACACAUAUUUAUGUGUAUUUGGCUGAUAGGUUGAUGAGUGUAUUAAUGGAUUUCACUUCAUUUUUAUUUAUUUAUUUGUACAUAUAUGUGUUCAUGAGAGUGUUUUAUGGACAUCACAUGUAUUCAUAGGCCAGAGGAGGCGGGAGAAGGUCUUAGAUCCGCAGGAACUUGAAUUCCUAGAGCUUAAGUUACAGGAGGUUAUGUGCUAUCAUGUGGGUGCUGGCAACCAAACAUGCCCUCUGCAAGAAGAGUAAGUACCCUUAGCUGUUGAGCCGUCUUCCAGCCCCAGUAGAUUUGAUAUUUGAACAUUCACGAAGACCUAGCAUAUUGUCUCAUUUGAUAGAAGCAAUGGAUCACAUCCAGGAACACUUGCUCAGUUUAAACAUCUCCUUCCUCUCUCACUUCCUCUUGCUCACCUCUACCUGCAUCUUGCUCGCCUGUCACAUGGACCUCAAGAAUGGUGGUUUAGCAAUCACGUGUCCCUGCUACACUUGGCAUCUACCUCACCCUCCCUCUGUCAUGCUGGCAUAGUCUCCAUGGCAACCCCAGGCUGCUCCACAGGCAGCUGGCCAUGCUGGAUAGCUGAUGCUGGCUGGCAGAAGCGAUCAAAGAGUGAGGGGGCCUUGAAGAGCCAUGGAAAAAGCUUCUGGUGAAAUUGUAACGACUGAAUUGGGGAAAAAAUGUUAUUAAUUUGAGCUAGUCCAGCUCAUGGUGAGGUUCCCAGGGGAGACCCAUCUACCAUCUGCAUCUUGCAAAUAAUAGUAUUCCCAAAUCUCCAUGCUUCUUCCAUGGUGGGUUUACUUUGUUUUUAUAUAUAUGGAUGGCAGAUUGAACACUGAGCAAGGGCCAGUGGCUGUUCUGGGCUGUUGCCACUUCCUUAGUGUACACACUUCAGAGUCAUUUGAAUCACUUCUUCUUUGUAUAAGGUCUGGACUACAGAACAGCCUCAAACAUUUGCUGGUCCUGUGUCCUUUGGGCAUUGGUCCUCAAGAUGGGAGGCAAGUUUCAGAAAAAACUGCCAGUUCUUUGCGCUCUCUUCAACCUUGCUUGCUUGACUGACCUUUCUCCAAGGAGCCCAUCCCAGAGACAAGCUAACAAAUGCUUACAAGAAAUGGCACAACGUGGUGAAGAUUGAGAGCAAAGAGCGGUGGGGAGACACUGUUUGGGGACUGCGUCCAAGGACAAUGUACAGUAGUUAUAUUGCAGCUUAUAGUAAAUUCCCUGCAUCCAUUUGUUGCUCUGGGCCUCUCAGUGGAUAGCGCUGUUGUUUUUCAAAACAAAGCGAAGUGCAAUUAGAAAAGAUUUAUCAUUGAUCAUGUCUCUUACUGCUUCUAAAACUCAUUCCUUUUUGCAUACCCAUUUGUGAAACUGUUGGUUAUAGUACACUGAACUUUUAAAAAGAUAAAGCUUGAAUAUAAGGUAAUUAAUUGUUUCAUUAUUUCUUCUCUUAUAAUAUUCCGUUUGUUAAUCUCAAUAUCAGAAAACACUAAUUUUGCUUAAUAUUCUGUGGUGCUUAAAAUAUUUCCAGUUAUUAGGUGAAUAGAUGUGUGUGAAUACCAAAUAUGUAUAAAAUAAUAUAUAAUAUGUAUAUGGAACUUGUCUAUAAUUUGUAAGUGACUUUUCUUUUACUUGUACUGUGGAAAUUUCUCUAAAGCGAAAUAAGGGAUAUUCGUAAUCAUUGUUUCAAUGUUUGGUUAUGCUGUUUGACUUACAAAUAAUUGACAUUAUCAAACAGACCUUAAUGUUAUGAUAAUGACAAUAAACAGAUUAUCAUUGAAUGUGAGGAGUAUUGUUUCCAUAGAUUAAAUGGUUACAUGAAGUAAAUGUUUCACAACAAAUGACUUCAGAGUUACAGGCUGAGCAUCUCUAAGGAUAUUCAAAUAUUGAUAAUAAUGGUAAUUGAUAAAUAUAUCUCAAAAGGUUUUACGAGUUAAAUCUGAUUUGCAGUACUAAUUCAAAAGUUUUAAAAGUAACUUUGAGAUACCACAAAGGCUUGUAGAAACCAUGUACCGUAAUUUCCAUCAGAAAGGAAAUAUAACUCAAAGAACAUACCUUCUCAGUACUGACAUGUGACAGUAUUUAGUGUAUGUACUGGACAGGAAAAAUGUCUGAUGAAUAAUGAGUCAUGUGCUUAUCUGAAGGCAUAUGGGAAAAAGAAAAAUAUGAACAAAUGAAGAAAAGCAGGGGCAACUGGCCAUUGCCAAUACCUGUGCUGUUAUCAUUCCUAAGAACCUAGAAAUGGUUUAAAAAUUAAGAAAAAAAAUCAGUUACAAGUCACUUCAGGAUUUGCAACAGAGAGAAUUUAAAGGAGCAUGUUGGAUACACAGCUGAUAGGAAAGCCCAGAAGCCAAAAGAGAGGAUGUAGAACUUAGUUAGGACCUAAUCUAAGAGGAACUUUGCCUCCUUUAGCUUCUAUCACUGGUACUCACAUGGGGCCAUAUUGAGGUCCCCACCACCAGUUUCCUCUCUAGUAAUCCUGUUGGUCAUAAGCAGGCAGAAGCGUUAUUUGAAUCUCAUUACAGACAGAAGAGAUGGUCCUCAACUCCAGUCCUACAUUGCUGAGGCUCUGGGUCUCCAGAACAUUAGGUGUGCUAACAGAGAAAUGAUGGCCAAGAAGACACUAGAGGGCAGUCCCCAUAAUCUACCAGCUACCCAGGAACAUCACGGGGGCUGUGUAGCUGCCAGCUCAGAGUUUGAGGAAGGCAGAGAUGAGAAGACAAUAGGGGUGUGGCUCUCUGUUCUUCCAAGUGGAUAAAGUCAAUUAGAAUCCCGUUGACACAAAACCACAGAGAUCUGCCUACAUGGCAGUCCCAUGAUAGGGGGAAAACCUUGGAAGGGGAAGGUGUGGAAGUGAGGAAUGUAGAGAGACAGACCAGCUAACACUUCCAAUCAAUGUCUAAAAUAUGACAAAUUCCAAAAUUAUGCACAAUCAACAACUCAGUAUACUGGAAAAUUAAGAAAAUAUUCUCAACUCGAAUUGAACCCUAAAUUGUGGUACUGUUUUGAUCAUGAUUUACAUAUAUACUUAAAUAGUUUCCUUAGCCUCGACCAUUGAAACCAGAAAAAUAUGUAAGAAGCAAAUGACUGAAAGGAAACCAAUAACUUAAAAGCUAUUAGCUGAUUAGUUGGAUAUUUAUAUACAACUCUGAAGAAAAUUAUUAAAAUUACAUAAAACUAAAUUUUUAAAAAUUAUAAAUUCAUUAGUAAAAUUAUAUAAAACUCUGAAGGAGGAUUAUAAAAACUAAAAAUGAAACAGAAAAUUUCCUGAUCUUAAUAAUACAGUGUUAGUUGUUAAUUUUUUUAGAGUUUGACUUAUAUUUAAGAUGACUAUAUAAUAAUGAAGUUUAAAAAUAUUCAUAAUUUGAAUAUUAAACUGCAAGAGAAAUGAGUUAGAAACCACAGGGAGAGUAUAGAUCAGAAUAGAGCUCUGCUUUAGCACACAAUCUGUAACAUUAUUAAGUGCCCAGAAAUAUCUGGUAUGGUUCUCCCCAUAUUUAGUGAUUUAUUUUAGUUGUAUUUAGGUAUAUUUGGUGAAUAUAACUGUGUUGAACUAUUUUUUGAAAUGAAAACUUUUAUUUAUUCUUUUCUCAUACGAUACAUCUUAGCCACAGCUUCCCCUCCCUCUACUCCUCUGAUUUCUCCCCACAUCCUCUCUCUCCCACAUGGUUCCCACCUGAGCCAUGCCCCAGUCUUCCCCCAGAACAGAGCAUACCUCCCAGGGACAUUAACUGAACGUGGCACAACAAAGUUCAAUAAGACUAGGCACAAACCCUCAUAUCAAGGCCGGAUGAAGCAACCCAGUAGGAGAAAAAGGGUCCUGAGAACACGCAAAAGAGUCAGAGACAUCCCCACUGUCAGAACAUCAAGCCAGCAACCAUAGAUAGAUAGAUAGAUAGAUAGAUAGAUAGAUAGAUAGAUAGAUAGAUAGAUAGAUAGAUGUUAUUUGAUUAUGUUGACCUGUCAUGAUAUGAAAAUGUAAAGCUUGUGUACAUUUCACUACUUUAUCUGCUUAAUUUAUCACCAAGGGUGUUCUUUAUAUAACUGUGUUGAAGCAAAGAAAGCUAUGUCAGAGAACCAGCCUUUGAGGUCUUACAUCAUUAUAGACCUAUCAGAAUCUAUCCAUUGCCAUGGUGUUAGCACCUUGGGCUACUGUAGCAAAACAUGAUGGAACACAUUCUGGUGUCUGUUCUUCUUGUAAGGACACCAACCACAUGACAAGACCCCUAAGUUUGUAAAAUUCUGUAAACCUAACUUCCUUCUCUCAAACCCUAUCUGUCAGUAUCACCACACUGGGAGUUCAAUGUGAUCCUUGAACCUGGGGAAGAGGAGUCACAUGCAGCCCACUUUAGUCACUGGUCCCAGGGUCGAAAAUGCUUUCCAGCACUCACUCUUCUUUCUAGGCAAGAAAGUUUUGAAUAGCAUUAUACGUUCUUAGACUAACAGCCAUAAGAAGUGGUGGGUAUGUUUGCAUGAAUCUAACCAUGAAUUACGGAGUUAGGAAGCAAGACCUGAGGCUGUGGGCAAGGGAAAUAAUUUCAGGUUGAAGAACUGAAUACAAUAAUAGACUAAUAGCUAGUCUGGAUCUAAGAUUUGAAACCCAAAAGAACACAGGUUUCUCCCAGAAUGAUUCAACAAAGUGGAAACCUUUGUUUGUGAAAGAAUAAGGCUUUUGUACUUUUAUACAAAAAAAAAAAAAAAAAAAAUUAAGCUAUCCGCCUAAGGUAAGGGAAUACAGCCAUGAAUACUAUCUGAGGCCAAAAAUUAUACUUGUAUUCUAUCUGUACAAACCAAUUUGGGAUAAAUGACUUAUAAUUGUUAUUAUUAUGAGUGUUUGGAAUAUUCAAAUUAGUUACUAAUACUAAACAUUCUUUCAUACCUACUUUUAAACCUAUCUGGGUCAUAGCCUCCCUUCAAAAUUAAUAAGAGGAUUUCCCCUGCUUUAGUACAAGUUACAGAGCUGAUUUCCUGUUCAGAAUCAUUACCUCUCCCCGGCUCUGGGAUACUUGAUUCCACUUCUCUGUUUUGUGUGGUUUGAGGUUACGACGUAUCUCUCAUGACGUAGUGUUCAGGAUGAAAGAAAGUCUUAUUAAAUCUAGCUGUCCUCGCUGAAUGGCAGGUGAGGGGUAGACCUUCGAGGUUUUGCUAUUGAAUAGUCUUUUCACCAGUGAAUUGGCAGUCUCUGAAAGAGGGCUGGGGGGUGCUUCCUUUCCACCCUGUUCCACUUCUCUGUAGAAAACUCCCUCCUUUCCUUUAUCUCAUCUCUCUUUCUCUGCAAAAGCCAACAUGGUGUAGAUGCCCAUGCCUGUGGCUAAUACUGAAUCAAGUGUAUCAGAGAAGCGAUCGUUUCACUGAAUGGCUGUGAGACAGAUAGGGGGUACAUACAGCAUGGCCACUCUUUAACUUUUGCAUAAGAUUAUGUAUGUAUGUAUGUAUGUAUGUAUGUAUGUAUGUAUGUUCUGUGUGUAUGGGUAUUUUGCCUGAAAGUGUCUGUGCACCAAAUGCAUGCUGUGCCAUGGACAAAGAAGGGAACUAUAUUUCUUGGGACUGUUGUUAGAGACGGUUGUGAGCCUCCAUGUGGAAGCUGGGGAUUGGAUCAGGGCUCUUUGGAAGAGCACCGAGUGCUCUUAAUCACGGAGUCUUCUUUCCAGCCCCAACAUGACUGCUUUUAGCAAAGGGAUGAUUCAUAUCUAGGGAGGAAUGACUUAGAUGGAAGAAAUUAUCACGAUUGUCAAAACAAAAAGUGCAGUUUCAAACUGUUUAUUUCUAGAACUUUCCCUUUACAUUAAAAACUUUUUUUUAUAUGUUUGGAUACUUUGCCUACAAUCUUGUCUGCACCACAUACUUCCUGCUGCCUAUCAGAAAGAGGGCAUUGGAUCCCCGAAAACUAACUUUGCAUAUGGUUAUGAAUCACUAUUCAGGUGCUGGGAUUAAACCUGGGUCCUCUGCAAGAGCAGCUAGCGUUCUUACCCACUGAACCAUCUCUCCACUCCCUAGAAUUUUCCUUUUAGACUCUUCAAAAUUUGGUUAUUUAAAAGUAGUCAAAACUAGAGUUAGAUAGACCAUAGAUAAGAAGAGGUUACUGUUGUGUUUUAUAAAAUGACUGUGGUGAGGUGGUGGAAGGCAGCUCCUGGGUGGGCCCAUGCUGAAGUGUUUCCUCUGAGAAAUCAGCUGAACAACAGGCUUAGUGUAAAAGAGAGUUUAUUGGGAAGGGGGUAGAGGCAGAGAAAGGGGGACAGAGAAGGAUACAAUGAAAGAAGAAAGAGAAAGAGAAGAGGCUGACUGGGGACACAUGGGGGAAGGAGGGAGGGAGAGAGGGAAGGAGAGAGAGAGAGAGAGAGAGAGGGAGAGAGAGAGAGAGAGAGAGAGAGAGAGAGAGAGAGAGAGAGAGAGAGAGAGAGCACUCUAGCUAGCUAGCACUGAAUGGUCCUCCUUAUGGUGAACCAGGUACAUGCCUGGCUGUUGCUAGGUGACUGUUGGGCAGAGCCUAGAGGAAAUGCUAACAGUUAUUAUACUUUUGCUUUGACACUGAAGCAGUACCCACCAGCCCCACUGUGUUAACCAGCCAAGUAGAAAGCUAGAUUGUUGUGCAAGGCUGGAACUGGGCUGUGCACACACUCCCUCUGGUCACAUCCAUGUGAAUUGCUAUCCUAGGGGCAGACUUAUCCUGGAGCCUUCCUCAUUUGGGAGGGUUUCAUUGAAAGGCAAGUUGUAGGCAUGCAUAUUUGUCUUCUGACCCAAGCUGGUGGCUUGGCUCCAUCAGUAAUACAGUGGAUGCUGUAUUUUCAACUCUUACAUUUUUUGACUGGUUGAGAAUGAAGAGGUGUGUUAUAUACUACAUUUUCAUAUUGAUUUUAGUAUUAUGAGAAUGUGUUAUCUCAGGGACUAUCAAUUAAAAAUUAAGUUUUUGUGACUUGCUUUACAUUGGAAGAUAAAUACAUACUACUGAUGACAAGCAGCCUUCUCCCUCCUAGGAUGCAUUUCUUCAUAUCAUUCACUAGCUAGACUUAAGUACAACUGCUCCAUAGUCCCACCCUCUCUACACUGUCUUGUUCAGCUGGGACAAGAUGGGGUUUUUCAUCCGUCAGUCUGAAGCCUGGCCAUUUCAGGGAGAAGUACGAUUUUGUUUACAGCUUCUUUAUUUUUAGAUUUGUUUUUAAUACUCGUAUGUGUGUUUUCCAAGUGUGUGUGUGUGUGUGUGUGUGUGUGUGUGUGUGUGUGUGUGUGUGAAGGAGCCUGGAUGAAUCAAUUGAAUCACUAUCUGAAGAGAGUAGAUUUUUCUAGAAAAUAUAUCCAAAAAGUAUCUGCGGAGACAUACCAGUCCUUUUCCUUCUCCUGACAAGUUCAGAGCAAAACUCUUCCUCUUGUCAUUAGGACUUGUUUUAACUGGUCUGAAAUCAAGACUCCAGCUGCUGAACGAGUGUUGAAGACAUGCUAUAUUUUAAUUUCAUAUGAUAUGAACAUCAUCCCAAAAAGGAAACAAAUAUUUUAAGGCUGUUUAGAGUCGAAAGUGAGGUUGUAAGAAGUUCUGGGACAUGCUUCUUGAUAACAGGAAAACUCGACUUUUUAAUAUUUCAUGGUCCUACGUGUCUUUAAAAAAAGAGUGGCAGCAUGUUUCCUCUCUAGUGCCAGUACCAGGUGGACAACACAGCCCACACAUGGAAUGGUUCUCUCAACUCUGUGCUUUCUCUGCCAGCCAACGUUCCAGUGCCCACCCCACCCCCCCCAGUACCUCUCACUACCAUGCAAAGCCCCACACACCCCAUGGUCAGCCAUCACAACACCCAAUUACCUGUUUAGAGUAUUUAAAAUAUGCAUACUAUUUAUUUUGAUCAUUUUCACCCCAUAAUACUCCUCUUAUCUCUUCCUUGAUCUAAUUUCCAACUUCUUAUCACUAUACCUUUUCCCAAUUGAAUAUCUCUCUCUGUCUGCCUGUCUGUCUCUGUCUCUUUCUCUCUCUCUCUCUCUCUCUCUCUCUCUCACACACACACACACACACACACACACCAGCAGCAGCAGCAGCAGCAGCAGCAGCACCACCACCACCACCACCACUGGCACCAAGUUCAAUUUAUGCUGCCCAGAUGCUGGUGAAGACAUCCACUAGAGCAUGGUCAAACUACCAGAAGCCAUAUCAUGAAGAAAACUAAUGCUCUCCUACCCUUUGGAAGCCACCAAUUGUCAGUAGCUCCUGAUGAUUACAAAUGUGUUAGUUCUUCAAGAAAUAGAUGGCAUGGAGAAAGGAGGGGAUCUUUGGCAAACACCCUCACUGGACUUGCUACAUGCUCUGAAGGGAUGGGCUCUCUGGCAGACACCCUCACCUCAGUCAGUGCUUGUGUAUAGGCCAGCUGAUGGUGACAACCAAGUGAUCAGAAUUGUAGCAGUGGACAGGAAAAGAUUCUCUGUUGUCUAGGAGAUGGAGAAGUCACAUGUUUCUUGCUGUGCCCUGCAAGCCAGACUGGCUCUGGAAAUAUUUUUAGCAACUUUGUGUACAGAGGAGGGAAUCCAAAGAGCUUUCAUUUAUCAGCAGGCCUGUUUAUGUCAAGGGGAUGUUGCGAAAGCAUGUUUGCUAUAAGCAGAUUUAGGACUCUGAUAUUUCUGACUGUGCAGCUUGGUCACUGUGUCUCUGUUGUUCCAUUUUUAAUGGGAUUAGCAAGCUUUAACAGACCCUGCUUCCCUAUAGCUUAAACUUUGUCUACCAUCUACAACAUGGACUUAAUGAUAACCGAAUUACCCUUUACAUUGCUGGACAUUUAGCAACACCCUAGACCUCUAAUUCACCAAGUGACUGUUGGAUUCCAUCCCCAGUUGUCAUAGCUAAUGAUGUCCAUAGCCAUGGCCAUAUGUCCACCAGAGAGAAAAAUCAUAGAUGCAUAGGUAAAGAGCUGUUGUGGGAGACCAUGCCCUGCAUCUGCUCCCUGUUGUUCUCCUGCCAAUAGGGUGUGAGGCUGCAUGCAGCCCCUACAACAUGACCGCUUCCUACCCCAGGUCACUCAGUAUGUAUGUGUGCACGUGUGUGUUGGAUAUCCUGCCUCAGCAAGACCUGUUCUUGUCAUUUUUAAGGUUUUAUUGCUGUGGAGAGGUAGAAUGACCACAGGAACUCUUUAUUUUAUUAUUAUUAUUAUUAUUUUAAUUAAUUUAUUGUUUUACACUCCAUAUUUUAUUCCCCUUCCCCCUUGAUCCACCCUCUGUCUAUUCCACAUCCCAUAUCUCCUCCCCACAGCACCAUCUCCAUGUGGAUGUCCCCCUCCCCCACCCCCACCCCACCUGACCUCUAAACUCCCUGGGACCUCCAGUCUCUUAAGGGAGAGAGAGGACUCUGACUGAACACAGACCCAGAAAUCCUCUACUGUAUGUGUGUUGGGAGCCUCAUAUCAGCUGGUGUGUGCUGUCUGUUUGGUGGUCCAGUGUCUGAGAGAUCUGAGAGGUGUCCAUAUUAAUUGAGACUGCUGGUCUUCCUAUAGGGUUGCCCUUCUCCUCAGCUUCUUUCAGACUUCCGUAAUUCAACAACAGGGGGCAGCUGCUUCUGUCCAUUGGUUGGGUGCAAAUAUCUGCAUCUGACUCUUUCAGCUGCUUGUUGGGUCUUUCAGAGGGCAGUCAUGAUUGGUCCCUUUUUGUGAGCUCUUAUAAAGGAGGCCAUUUACUUUGGUCUGGCUUACAGUUCAGAGGCUUAGUCCAUUAUCAUCAUUCAGGCAGACAUGGUAUAGGAGAAGAAGCUGACAGUUCUACCUUGAUAUCUGCAGGAAGCCGGAAGUGAACAGGCUUUACCUUCUGAGACCUCAGAGCCCACCCCCUAGUUACACAACUCUUCCAAGAAAGGCACAGCUACUCCAAAAAGGCCACACCUCCUAAUAGUGCCACUCCCUAUAGACCAAGUAUUCAAGCACAUGAGUCUGUGGGUGCGAUUCCUAUUCAAACCACCACAGUCAUCUUCCAGUGAGAUGGGAAGUUUGAGAUCUUUGUGCCAAUACCAAUUAGUGACUGUAUCCAGAGUAUUCUGUAUCCAGAAUAAUUUUUGCUUUCUUCUUUUUUUUUUCUUAUUUUGUUCCCCAUGCCUCGGUGCUAUGGCGCUACUUAGGUUCGUGGACUUAAACAAUGAACUCUUCCAUUCUCUGACCAACAGCCAAAGGGAUUGGCUCUUGGAGCUCCUUUCAGCACUAAUAAAUGGUAAUUUUAAAAGUGCUGAUCACUUACUGCUCACAUAGUAGCCCCAGCAUCUUCUGCCAGAUUGAACUGCCAUCAUCUCCAUGUGGAAGGGAGAAGGGAAAUCUUAAACAGCUCAUUAAGGCCCUGAUUGGCUGAUUAUAAUAAUCUGACAUGUUCUUCUGAGCCUGCAAUGUUUUCUGUGAUUUGUAUUUUCUUCCCCCUCAAAUAAAAACAAAACCAGCAAUUAUUUCUUGCCUCAAAUAAUCAUUGGACAUUUUCUCUGAAAUGAGUCCAACACUUGAGCAAAGGGCAAUUUCUUUCUUUUUUUUUUCUGGCGUAGAAUUAACUUGAUAUAAAAUUAGCACUUGAGCCUUUCGCAAGUUGGUGCUUUUCUGGAAUAACUUGACUUGUUGAAUCCUUCCCUGGCUUCAGCGCAUGUUGCUUUGGCCAACCAGCUGGGCAUGCUCCGCGAGGUCACCAUGCUUUGGCAGUCCGAGGAGCAUGCAACCGCAGCCCAGAUCAGAAUUGUGUGGUCCUAUAGACAGAACUGUGGUAUCGACGCAGAGCCUGGAUGAGAAGGCAUGAUGCCAUCCAUGUCAUGCAUCGGUCACCAUGAUAGGUGCACUUACAGAUACCUGGGAAGAUUGUUUCAGCUUAUCUCCAGCUCCUGGAAAGGCGUCAAAGACAGAGGAGGCUGCUCGGAUUGUGUGCAUGAUGAUUGGAAUCACGUAUUGAUCGGGACCACAUAGGGGAGCACACAGCUAUCAAUUGUACUAAGACUUCUAAGUGCAAUGGAGUGGCAUGUGACUUCCCUGUCUGCUUGUGCAUUGUGCAUGGGUACUGGUGUGGUUUGUGAUUAAUUCAACACAGGGAAGAGUACCUUUGGGACAAAGGUUCCCUGUUUGUCUGUGGGGAAACACAAUAGAAUAUAUACAACAAGCAUUUAUUUGGACCUUAGCAUGUGCCAGGCACCACACCGGACAUUUUAGAUUCAGAAUCUCUUCAGACUCUCCCAGUAGCUUCCUGCAGUGAUUUUUUCUUUAUAAAAGAACUUGAGCAUUGUAGGCAUUAUCUAAUUCUGAUUUUUAAAUAGAGCAUUCACGUGACUCCGUGACAUUUACGUAACCGUGGAAGUUUCAGCAUUCUGCACUGGGAAGUUUUUGUUAAUUUUUGAUGGUUGGCUUAGUCUUCACUGGGUGUCUUAUAUAGGAGAACAUUAGUUAUCUGCCACCUGUCAUCAGUGUAAGAGGUCACCAUGUCACAGUGCUGUAAAACACCACAUACAUACACUCCUCAAGUGCUGCCUGCCAGAAGUCUACCUUCUGUCUCACUUAAAUUCAGGCACCAUCCAGGUGGUGAUACUUGUGGAAACCUAUUGAGAGGGUCCAUGCCCUGCCUCUUACACCUUCUGGGGUGGCCACAUUCCUUGACUGACCUACCCCUCUCUUCUCUUUCAAAGCCAGAGACCAUAACUUAAGUCCUCCCCAUUCCUGCCUUCUACAUCCUCUGUAAGUCUCACUUCCCCUCUCACUCUCCAUUCUUUCUUGAGUUGAUACAUUUUUUUUCCCUCAAACCAGAUAGUGUUUCUGAGUUCUUUGGAAAUCUCUUUUCCUCACUAAUAAAAGAGCUACAAAUUGGGGGUAGGGAGUAACAAAGAACUUCAGAACAAUUUGAUGAUCAACCCGAAAGGAAUAUCUGUGAUUAAACUAUCUUCUUUUUCACCCAUUUUUACAGUGUUUAAAGCAACAAAUCACCUGAGGCUCCAUGGGCUGCUUGUGGUAAUUUCUCAAUGGUGGAUGCUGAUGCUCUGUGGGUCACUUUUUAGUCACUGGCUGAGGCUGGUGUUUUUGUUUUUUGUUUUUGUUUUUCUUUCUCAGCUGGGUACGAGGGAUGCCACUGCUAAUGACCUCUAGGCUGUAGAGUCCAGAGAAGUCGCCAGUGUCUUGCCUUGUGUAGGAGAGCCUCCAUGGUGAACAAUUAUCUAAUCCACAGUUGUGUGAGUCUGUUAACACAGAUUGUGUGUAGACAAGUGCGUCAGUCCAGUCAAGUUAACUGUGAAGCCACGGCGGAGACUGCCAGACUGUGCCAGGGGACUUGAGACGAAGAAAGAAGCUUUUCUUUCCAGGUGACACCACCUUGGGAUGAAACAGUAACUUUCCCCGCUACAAGUGCACUCAAGUUUUAUGAAUCACAGUCAAGGGAUUUCUAAAUUUAUCACGCAGUGCUUUCUUUGCUUGAUGUUACUUCCGUAUUUCUUUUGUAGUACAAUGGUGAUUUGCACCAAAUGAUGUAGUAUGGAUCUCUAGGAAUUGUAGCAUCCUUUGUAAAUGACUACUCGAUUCUGUCUUCCUGUGACCUGGCUCUUGGAACUUUCCUCCCCCGCCCCCCCUUUGAGGAAAAUGUUAUCUUAUCGGUUAUUGAUGAACCAAGCAGCAGUUACGACUUGGAGAAGCUGCUCUGAGCUCUAAGAAAGUUAUUGCAUCAUGCUCUACUUCACAUUCAUGGUCAGGGUUUGAUAGAGCGGUGAGGGACAAGAAGAGCAGCCCGGAGCUGUUGAAAGGACUCCAGGUUCUGUCCCAGGUGGACCGCAGAUGAAACCUUAAAUAAGUGCCUAUUAGCUUAGGUGCACUUCUGACUUCAAAUACUCACAAGGCUUUCAUACAGAAUUGUUGAAGAGAAUUCUAGAAUUUAUUGUUGUGAAUUCAGCCGUUGUCUUAAGCAACCUGGUUUCUUUACUCGAUUUCUUUACUAUCUCUAAUUGUAUAUUAUCUUCUUUUAUAUUUUCUUCAUAUAUAUGAUUACAAUAUUCUGGAACUGGACAGAAAUUUACAUUUAUGGGAGAAGCAGAGCCCAAAUGACAGCUUGAAUUCUAUGCUGUGUGGUUAGAGCUUAGAACUGAUGUGUGCUGACUGUGUGCUUAGAGCACACUGAUGCAGGCUGACUGUGUGCCUAGAGCUUAGAACUGAUGCGUGCUGACUGUGUGCUUAGAGCUUAGAACUGAUGCAUGCUGACUGUGUGCUCAGAGCACACUGAUGUGUGCUGACUGUGUGGUUAGAACACACUGAUAUAUGCUGACUGCUGACUGUGUGGUUAGAGCACACUGAUGCAUGCUGACUGUGUGUGAUGUAUGCUAACUGUGUGGUUAGAGCACACUGAUAUGUGCUGACUGUGUGCUUAGAGCACACUGAUAUAUGCUGACUGUGUGCUUAGGGCACACUGAUGUUUGCUUAGGAAUUGUUAACUUCAAUUUCUUGGGCUUGGACUUAUUGUUAUUAUUUUUUUUUAUAAAAGUCAAAAUUAAAAGGAAAAAACUCCCUUCCAUUCUUUUUCUGCCCAUAUAGCUUAUAUGUAAGCACCUAUUAUCUGAAUAAUUGAAUUUACUGUGGGAAGUUAUUAAUAAUUUUAUUGUCCUAGUAGCAUCUGCCCAUGUAAUGCCUAUUCCAAUCAAAAAUAAUUGGUUCCUUAGCUAGGGGAUCUAUUGUGCUUAAGGUCCUGGUGUGAUAUUUCUGGCCCUGUAAUUUGAUUUACUCCUGUUGAGCAAAAUCCUUUGAGACCUACAUCCCUCAAGCUCUAAAAGAGAAUAUUUUCAGGAUACAACAUUCAUGCUAAGAAACAGCAAUUGUUUGGCAAUCAGCAGUUUUAUUAUUGAGUAUCUAUUUGCAUAACAAUGUGCUGGGUACCAUGGAGAAUGCACAUGAAUAUCGACCUAUGAUUCAUUUUCUUGAAGAGAAAGUUUUCAUCUUUAUUAGGAAGAAACCACUUAAACAUAAAAUUCAAGGGAAAUAUGAUAGAAGAGAUGACUUCUGGCUAUGUUGCUGAAGUAGAAUGGGGUGUACUGUACCAAGCUUCAGAAUCUAAUUCUGAGCUCUGUUCUUCCACUCUUGAAGUCUGAAUGGACUUAAUAUAUUAUUUUAGCCUUAAGUUUCCUACUGAAUUGGAUGUGGAGGGCUUUUUACUUUAACUUGUGUCUCCAAAUGAUAUCCACUCUGUUUCAUUCAUGUUCAAUUUAAUGUAGCUCUUGUUUGUAUCACCUUAAAUAUAUUCAAAAUGGAUUUACAAUAACUAUAAAGCAGUUUGAGAAUUGUCAAGAGGCUGAGAAUGGAAGGGUUUCCUCGUGUCUGGAAGGAAAUAGAUUGGAGUUAAGCCUAGAAGCAAUGGCCUAAUAGCUAUGAUAAACAGAAGCCCCCUCUGACAGAGGCUUGGAGUGUGGACAGGAAAGAACAGUCACUCAAGGUGGAUGGCUAUUGUGUGUUUUUAGUCGCUUUUCAGAAUGCUCACCCUUUUCCCAACUGUAGCUAAUGGACUAAAUGACUGUUUUAGUGUUAAGGAUAAGGAAUGUGUCAAAGUUUUAAGUUUCCUAAACAUUUAUAUGCAUUGUGAGUUCUUUCAACACAUGAAAUAUGACGGUUAUUUUCUGUUUAGCCUUUUCAAAACCGUGGGUCUCUUGAAAUGGACUGGGGUAAUGUGGUUAGUGGACACUUCAGUAUUUCCAAGGAGUUCUGUCUGCGAAAUAUUUCAGCAAAUAUAAAUUAUGGUUGAAACUACCUUUAUAUAUUCAAAGAAAAAAAUAUUAUAGCAUAUAAAGAAGAUUUGAAGAGUUUUUCCACAACUAAUGACCCACAUUAACAGACACACCUAUGAAAAUAUGGUUAAAUCUACACGUGUAAGAAGCCUUUUUGACUAGACCCAGUUUUAUUUGAUUUGAGUGUAGAACAUUUCAGGAGGUGGUGUGUCAUUAGCAGUCACAAAGCAACUUGUAAGUGUUGUGUACCAGAAGGGAAGGUCUGUCUUCUGUAGUUGUAAGUAGAGUGGUCAGAGAUGCUCACUGAGAAGAUGUCAUUUAGUACAAAAUAUCGGGAAGGUGGGACCAUAGACAGUAGAUGGGGAGAUGACGAAUGGACAGGCAGGGAACCAGUAGUUUAGCUUCCUGAAGAGUGAGGCUGUGGAGUGAACAUGUAGAAUGUCACGGAGAUCAACUGGCUGGAGUGUGUGGGGAGGGCACAUAAUAAGAGAUGCCGGGGUGAUGUGUGAUGUUGAGUUAAACUGGGAGGUCAAAGGUCAAACCAAGCUGCCUUUGUGAUUCACUAUGAAAGUUUUAUAGAAGGCUUUCAUUUUGUGGGGUUUUGAUGAGAGGUAUAAUCCAGUGUAUAUUUUAGAAGGAAUCCUUUAGAAUACGAUCAAAUUAUCCUGCAUUGUGCUAAUUGGACAUCCAUCCACUAGUGAUGCAUAUGACCACAGUAGUGAUGUGUUGAUGGCCGUUUAGGGAGAUGUACUGAGAUGACUUAAUCUUGUUACAUUGGUAGGGUGGAACAUUUUAUACAAAGCCUUGAAGUAGUGGAGAUUUGGCAGCUGUCUUUAAGAACUAACAUAUUUACACACCACAUUGCGGUCACCGAGGUCCUUGUUUUAAUAAAAGUAAAUUGCAGGUUCUAAUUGCUUUCUAAAUUAGUCGGUUUAGCAUCUUUACACAUGUAUUGCAAGGUAGAUUUUCACAUUUGUACAAAAGCAACCAAUCUACUGCCGUUUCCCAUAGGAUACAGUCUAACAGUAAAAGCCAGUGCAGGAGUUUUGCUUCUUUUCCUAAUUUGUAAUUGGUAUAUUUCUCACCUCUUUUAGAUAAUUUUAGCUGUGAUCAUACAAUAUUCAAUUAAAAGAAAUUGCUGAAAUGGUAAAAUUAGAAAUGAACUUAGAGAUAUGUAGCUCUUUAGUUUGCUGCAAAUCAGAGUUAAAAAGAAAAGUACAUUUGUUUUUUGCAGUAUUCCAAAACAUGAUAUUAAUACGUAGUCAUUGUAACAAAGCUUUUAUUUACUAAGAGGUGAGUGGUCCAGUUCAUGUACUUAUACAGGUGUUGGAAUAGUUGGAUAUAAGCACAAAUGAGCAAACAAACCAAACUGUUUGUAUGAAAUAACGGUUGCUUUCUUGAUCAGAACAUCUAAGUGCUUAUCAACAGAAGAAUUAAAAUAAGACUUAGUUGCUGCUAUGGCAGAUGUAUCUUGCUUAUAAAACAUCUGUCUUAUAAAAUUUUGCGAUAUUAUCAUUACAAUCAACACCUUUGUUUAUCUAAGGAUUCAGAAAUAUUAUAAUACCAUGAGUACUUAAUACGAUCACACACUGCCUAGGUUCAGUGUGAGCAAGCACAGUGUACCAUGAGCACUACUGGUGAAAAGAAGCUCUAGAGGGGAAAUCGCCUAUAAGAACUUGCAAUUCUUUUUUCAUCUUUAUAACUCUUGUAUGUUAAGGUUUUCAUGAGAAAUUGAAGCGACUUUGGGGAAAUACUGAUAGAAUCACCCUCCCUCAAGCAUUUGGAUCGUAUUAGAUUAAGUCACUAAAACCACAACCAAUAGUGCACUGUCUAGGCUUUCAAUGAAUUUGCAAGUUUACAGUCCAAUAAAGUUGUCUGGGUUUUCAUACUAUUAUCUUAGUAAUCCAGUUGAGUCUUGAUUUAAGAGAGAUUUAAUCUGACUGAGUCAUGAAUGCAUUGUGAUGUUUCUUAAAAUAAAUGACCAAGAAAAGAUUAGGGGGUGUGUGGCCAUUCCAUUCAUGGUAGAAAGUACCUAAUGACAAUAUUGAGGGUAGCUCAUGCAUUUGGAGUUUUAAAAAGUAGACCAAGCUUCGGCUCACAGGAUGCUCAAUUUUAGCUACAGCAAGAGUUUAUCUUAUAAUGAAUGAAUGUGGGAUACUGAGAAACUUAGGGAAGAAGAGUGAAUAUUGAGAUAAAAAGCUAAUAUCCUAUACAGUGUAUUCAAAGAAGUUAGUGGGGUGAGUGGAGGGACAAACUAAGAGAAGGGAGUUUGCAGGGAAACAAGCAUAAAAACACCUGAGGCAGUUUUUGAAUGGGAAGAGGGAUGGAGAAAGAUGGUGGCCUGAUUCUGUGUAGAGAUCCAGGGUUUCCAUUGUGUAAAAUACAUUGUUUUAUGCUCUGAAUGAGGAACUAGUUCCUAUAAUAUUUUCAUAAUCCUUGGAUCUGUUGAGUGAUGGAGAGACAGUUCAUUAUUGCCAUUAUUUUGUUUAGUGUACGUCAUGGUGCCUUGCACAAUCUGUUCUAGGGAGGUUGUUAUGUGGAACAUAACUCCUGUAGAGAGAGUGUUGUAGGAUAAUUCAGAAGUGAACUGCACCAGUCAUUCAUAGAAAAAAGAAAUUAGCACUGAAGAGAACUGAAGAUGCUGUGAAGGAGGGAGCUUAGGGUGUGAGCGAGCUGAAGAGCCUGAGGCAGGCACUAGCCAUGCGUUUGUAAUGAAGGCCUAGGGUGCACAGGGCUCCAACACUCAGCCUCAGACUUGAUCAGAGUAGAGCUUACAUCAUUGCAUUUCUUAAAUAGAUGACACAAUUAGACAUUUAAUCUGAAGACAACAUAUAGAAGCUGAAUGAAAAAUAAAUACAUUAAAAGUUUAUGCUCUUGUCAUUUUGUUCUUUAAUUCAAUUAAGUAGAUAAAAGAAAGGUUAGAUGGUCCUAGAAUAUUUAUAGUUUUGGAGAUAAGAUUAUGAGUCUGUGAUAAGACUGUAGAUCAAUAGAAUGUGUAUACUACUAGAAGAUAAGGUUAGAAAAAAAAACGGGGCAAUAUUUCUGUAUUUUUGCUAACAUUGAAACCUUAUAUUGCACGUGGAAAUUUUGGCUCACUUAUUUCACAAACACUUCAAGUUUUUAUGAUCCACCCUUCUAUUUUUUUUUUAAACAAACCAUUUUCCUCUCAGUUGAAAAUUUACCUUUUAAAUUAUGGGACUCUCUCUGUUUGCAUGCAUAUUGACAUCACUUAGAAGGAGCCAUCUAUUUUUAUUGUUAAUUAGAGUCCUGUGUUUGGGGGAGAUUUUUAAGAAGACUUGUAGAGAUACCAUGGUAACAAGAAAAACCAAAUUAAACCUAGAGGGAAGUGGGUGGAAAACAAGGAUAAGCCUUCCCCAGAUAAGGUAUGUGGCUGUGUGAAAGCAAGCUCUCUGGGGCGGAGUCCUUCUGCAGCCUCUCAAAGGUCUGACUGCUACACCAGUGCCACAAAGAGUGCCAGCCUUGCCCCUGGCCCCUAAGAACCACUCCUGAGGAAACACAAUGUGUGCCUUCCUCUCUAAAAUAGUUGUCUUUUUCCCUUUAGGAUGUGCUGACCUUGAGCAACAACCCUCUCAGGUUUUGGGGGAUUAUUGUUGGAAAGAUUGUGCUGAAAUAAUGAUAUAUGUUGUUGUUGUUUUUUAUGUUCUUCCUUUGUACACAUGCGUGUGCACUAUUUCAGAAGACACCACAGAGCAGAUGGGCAUAACUUCCCUUAUAGUGAGACUGUAUUUCUUUAAUAGCACGUGUGUCCCUGAUCAGAUAGGCAUAGGUCAGAUUUAUUAAAUAUAGCACCAAGUAGGUUAACCCAUACUUAAUGCAUAUUAGCUCUGCUGCUUGCUGACCACAAAGUUCAUAGGCGUGCAGAAGAGUCAGGAACUCUACAUUACCCUGGGUCUCAUUAGAAAACAGAGGUGAAGCCAUUGGCGAGGGGCAAUCACAAUCCUAUUAUCUUCCUGCUCAGGACCCUCCCGCGCCAGCCCUCCUGUGGACCAAGAGAAUCUCUUACAUGUCCUGCAAAGCUACGCCUGAAGCCUUAUUAAUCUUUCCUGCUUCACACAACACAGGUCAAUGGCUGCGUCAGUACCUCAGUAUCUGCCAUUGAUUCCCCCAUGGAAAUGUCUUGACACGUGGCUCUUACCAUCUUAAGCCCCACUGAGAACUCUUCCCAUGAGGACACUGCUGUGUUGGUCACAUGAGAGCACAUUAUGUCGAUGUAGACAUUGUUUACUGUGCAGAUGGGACACGGAGAAUACAACCUAAAGUGAUCUAGCAGUGGCUUCUAAAGCCAGGCGUGAUGGUGCAUGCCUUUUAUCUCCGCACACAAGAGGCAUUUCUUGGGGUUGAGGCCAAUCUAGGUCAGAUUUACAUGGUCUCAAAAACAAAAACAAAAUAAAUAAAAGGUUUUUAAGUACGUGUAGCCAACAUUUUAAUUUUCAAAAUCACAUUUUUUAACUCUACUAAUUGAAUAUCGGUAUAUAUUUCCAGACAGAUUUUACCAUCACAAGUGGGCUUUGUGAGAAUUUGGUGAGAAUAAACAGUCCUUGUUAAUAUAAAAUAGAUUUCUAUAAUUUUAGUUCUUUAUUGCCUUGACAUUCCAAAUUGAUGGGAUUUUAGUUUUUACUCCUAUGCUAGUCAUUAAUCAAUUGAAACUUAAAUCUGUUCAUGUUAAGUAUACACUUGGAAGAGCUAUAAAUAGCUCUUCCAUAUUAUUGGUGGAUUGUGUCUCAUGUCAUGUGAUGAAGAGAAUGUUUGUAUGUGUGUGGGGGGGGUUGGUGCACCCUCUCCUCUUUCUCUUCUCCUUUUCCCUCUCUUCCUCUUUACUUUCCCUUUUAAUUUUGAACUCUAUAGUCACACAGAUUGGUGCAGAAGUGCAUCCCGGAAAUGGGCAUUGUUUCACAUUCUUAUCUGCUAUGUUGACUUCCUUUCCCCCCUGUCAGAUCUUUUCUGGGUAUUUUCCAUUCUUCCCAUCUCUGGGUUCUUCACUGAGGCUGCUGAUACAAUCCACCAGCGGCUGAGGUUUUGGAGUUUAGAGAAACACAGGCAUUCAUUAAGCCUCUGGUUUCUUUGUACCAAGAGUAAUAAAGACCACACUACUCAGGAUAUCUCUCGAGCACAGAAACUCGUCUUGAGCCCCAUAACUGCCCUUGCUGCCUUCUCUCUGUCCCCAGACUGUGAGCUGCUAUUGGAUCUUCGGUCACAUCUUGAGUCACCCAGAGCUUCACUCAUUUCUUAGCUGCUACAGCAGAAUUUGCAUUUAUCUUUUGUAUUUUCCCCAUUCUUUCUGUAUUUGAAUUACCUCUUACUAUUACAAAUUCUCCAUGGGGAAUCCACGCUUGUUUGUUGAUCUAGUGAUUUAAGCUUUUUUGCUUACUGUCUUUCUCUAGUUGUGGCAUGAAUUCUUACAAGUUGUUGUUGUAGGUUUUUUUUUUCAGUUGAGGAUUCUAUAUACUAUCCAAACAGUGUGACCUUUUAAAUGAACAUUAUGUUAAUUCUCUUUUGCAACUAUGUUGUUCUUGUGACCAUACUUUAUAAGCUCAUGAUUUAGGGUAAAGCAAUAGGUUGUCACGCUAAAUUCUCUCCCAGUGGUGUCGUGUUCUCAGAGGGGAAGUCUUAGGCUGCUUUUGACUACGUCUUCUUCAUCUGCUAAGUUUUUUUUUUAAACUGAAAUGGCUAAACUCCUGACUCAGACACUCUGGCUAAUUUGGUCUGGAAAGAUGCUUAAGGAAGUGUAUGUCUCAGGGCUGGUGAGAUGACUUAGUAGGUAAGGGAACUUGUUAAAAGCAUAGCUACUUGUGUACAAACCUAGGACGCCACUUGUUGGAAGGAGAGACCCAAAUUCUAAACAUUUAUCCUUUGUCUCCCACACGUGUGUUGUGGCUUGUUUGUAUACAAACACACAACCACAUAUGAAAUGCACAAUUAAAUAAAAGCAGGCAUGUCUAAGGCGAUGCUAUGUGACCCAGGCACGGAUCUGCUACGUCUCUUCCCAGAGAACCUGGGUUUAUGACUGCCAGGGUUACUAGGCAUUGGUUUUCAAAGGUUCUGAGUCAGAGAGCAGGCACUCAUGCACUAACAUACCUGCAAUCCCAGAACAUAAGAAGCUGAGGGAGGGGCUUCGUAGUUCAAGGUCAGCCUUGACUAUAUAGAAAGGCUGUAUUUGGGGAAAAUGUGAGACAUGAAUCAUGGAUGCAUAUCAUACACCUCAUCAGCUUCAUGUUUUCUUUGUAUUUCUACCUACAAAGAAUCUGCAUACAACCUUCCUUUCACCCAUCAUUACUGACUUGGAGGAAACAAUGCUCUAACUUGGAAUGUACAUAUGUGAAACUUGUUUUUGUUUUCCCAUGCUUAUUUGUCCAAAACAAUUGUUGCUCAAAAGGUAACUUCACUCAUACGUGGCUGUCCACUUAUCCUCACAAGGAUCCUGUGGGUUCUACCUGUUUUCAGCGACGGAAGGUCAGGCUAGUGGUUCACUGUGCUCUGCAGAAGAGAGGGUGAUGAACCAAGAUGCUAGCCUGGGCCUGGGGACUGUGUACUUCAUGAUGGAGUCUCUCGUUUCUGUUUCUCUGUUGCUGAAACAAGCUGCCGUUGUCCCCGUUUUAUCCUGUGAAAUGAUGUCUUUCCCCUGAUUCUUUUGGCAUCUCCUAUUAAUCCCUGGUUGAAGGCUGCCCUCUGGGCAUUACAAGCUUUUCUGCUUGAAUGGGAAAGCCCAAGUAACCAUCACUCUUUAAGGAACUGUGACUUAAUAAGAUUUAUUUGGGGCUUUGAAUGCAGCUGCACAUUAUAAUUAUGGUGUAUUUUUAACACUUGCUUUAUGAAAAGUGACAGCCCAUCACAACGGGGCCAGGUUCAGAAGAAAAUAGUGGAUGGUCAUCACGGUCAUCAUAUAACCUUCCCCCAGCAUGGCUUAAUCUUGAAAACAAAACAAUAAAAGCCGUGGAAGGUGGUCCUGAUUUUAUAGAGAAAGAAUUUUGUGAAAGAGAAGUCGCAGGAAUUCUUCAAGGCUAAAGUAUAAAACCUGGAUCCAAGCCCAUUGCAGACUUUGCAUUCCAGUUCACUGAGGGUUUUCUGGGCUAGCUGAUGUUGGCCAUGAAAUGUAAUGUUUAAUUUUAUGUAGUUUAGGAGAGGUUUUUCAAUUAGUGCAGUUGGUAGAGUUUUGAUUCUUCUUUGGAUUGACAGAUGUUUGCUGAGUUUCUUGUUUAAGUUAGAGAGUCUUGGAGCUUCUUGGAAUAUAUCAGUGAUCAAAACAUAAUGGCACCCAUUUCUGUAGAGUUUGGAGUGUGGUGCUGGAAGGACCUAGGGCCACAUGUGGGACUGCUCAUACUCCUUUAGGACUAGUGUCUUGGAUGCAGUGGAAAUAAGGAAAGCAAUAUAAGACACUUCAGGGAAUAAAUCACCAGCUCGAUGUUAUAGGCCCUUGUAGCCAGGGAAGGUUUUGAACUAAUAGUGAAUAAGCCAACAUAGCCUUAAGUCGGUCUACAUCUAUGAUAAGGAAGGAAUGAUGGGCACAGGGAGACCUGAUAACAAAAUCUGUGAUCAGUUCAGGUGAUGGCUCAUGCUAGGAGGGACAGUAAGGGAAAGAGGUGACCUCAUGUUGGUUCUAUUGGAUGACAGACAUUGCUGAGUCACUUAGCCCAUUGGGUACAGAAUGAAA